CUGUUAUCUGCCUGGUAUGUGAGCACUUUGCAAAUAUUUGACUGGAAACAACAUGAGAUAAGGAUAGGUGAUGAUCUACUGGUGCAGUGGGAGUCAUGCCCCACUGAGCUGCUCCAUAACUGCAGGGUACUGAUAAGGGUCACCAUGCUGCUGCUCAGUGCUGGUUCUGGCUUAGUAUGGGCUUCUUCUGAACAAAAUUACCUUUCUUUCCAAGCUGUCCACUCUGUGGAUUGGGGAAUCUGCCAGGUUCAAUCCUCUGUGCUAUUCCAGUUCCUUUUCUUGAGAAUAUUAACAGUUUCCAUUCUCCUCCUAAUUCCAUGCCAUAAAACAUCCCUCUUACUCAUGCAGAACACUCGGAUCCGCCCCCUUGCCUCCUGGCUAAUUACUGUCAUUAUCCGGCUAGACAAACUUGUCAGGAGAUAGGAUCUCCUCCCAGACAGGGUCAGUGCAGGAAGCUCUGCCAUCCGGCACUGUGUCAGUGUCAUCUCUGCAGCUCUGGAUCCUGAGAACCAGAGAGAAGAGGGGCAGAGGAGCAUUGCCAGAUCAAAGGUGCUCCAAAGGCUCCUGUGCUCUCACUAACAUCAGUGGGCAAAGGCUGUACCCUCACUCUUACUCCUGGUAUAGGAGUCCUCCUUUACAGAUGCUGAGUAAUACUUCUUGAGACCACUGCCUGCAUGUAUCAUUAAUGUGAUAAAUUAUGGAAUCCCUCACUCUGCACUUCACAGUUCACUCCAGCACAAACCCCAGGUUUCUGUGCCCUGAGAAAAUGGAGGAACCUCCACCUUUCACCUAAUUUCCUUCCUGAGUAGGUGAGAACACUCCUUCCUCUCAUAAACCUUGGAUGACACCUUGCUUUGCACACACAGCCUGGCAUACCCAGCAGUGGUGUGUCACUGCUGUACCAAAUAACCAUGCUGCGUGGUAAUAGCCCUGCGGCACCAGGGACAUCUAUAUCACUCCAUGGGUGCUCCAGAAUGGAAAUGUUCACAUUUAUGGGCUGCUGCAACCAUGGCUACAGUGAAACAAAACACUCCUGUAGCUGCUGUGGUGACCCACACUGGGGACAGUUCCAGCUCUACUGAGCACCUGCAGUGCUGCAGCCAACCUUCUGGGCUCAGAGAUCAAAGGGAUUUUCCUGCGGAUUCAAGCUCAGCCCUGUCUCUGUCCAGAGAGACCAUCCGGUGUCCUGCAGUUGCCUCUGAGAGAAGGAGACAUCAGCAGCCUGUGGUCGCUUUUCCAGAUCAGAGAAGGGAAGACAACCUCCAGCUUUGAGCUCUCCUGAUGGCCAGGUUACAGUGUGGAUGUUCUUUAUAUCCUCUACCAGACCCUGGAAACAUUCACCAGUAGGAGGGAGGAAGCUGCAGUGCAAGAAGGGUGCUCCAAGCCAGAUGUGGAAGAUGGGAUGCUCUAGACAAUAGUCCCCCUCUGAUUCAUCCUUGGAGCAGGCCCCGUCCUGUGAAGGAAAGGAGGCAGAAAUAAAAUGUUGCCCGUGUGUGUAAUGAGGCUCUGU
rnacentral:lncRNA from 1 species